rnacentral:rRNA from 1 species
UACGUAGGGUGCAAGCGUUAAUCGGAAUUACUGGGCGUAAAGCGUGCGCAGGCGGUGAUGUAAGACAGAUGUGAAAUCCCCGGGCUCAACUUGGGAACUGCAUUUGUGACUGCAUCGCUGGAGUGCGGCAGAGGGGGAUGGAAUUCCGCGUGUAGCAGUGAAAUGCGUAGAUAUGCGGAGGAACACCGAUGGCGAAGGCAAUCCCCUGGGCCUGCACUGACGCUCAUGCACGAAAGCGUGGGGAGCGAACAGG